rnacentral:rRNA from 1 species
AUUGAACGCUGGCGGCAGGCCUAACACAUGCAAGUCGAACGAGUGGCGUACGGGUGAGUAAUGUCUGGGAAACUGCCUGAUGGAGGGGGAUAACUCCUGGAAACGUUCGCUACUACCCCUUACCACCAGAUGUCCCCACAGGGGAUUAGCUAGUUGGUGGGGUAACGGCUCACCAAGGCGACGAUCCCUAGCUGGUCUGAGAGGAUGACCAGCCACAAGGGAACUGAGACACGGUCCAGCCGCCUACGGGAGGCAGCAGUGGGGAAUAUUGCACAAUGGGCGCAAGCCUGAUGCAGCCAUGCCGCGUGUAUGAAGAAGGCCUUCGGGUUGUAAAGUACUUUCAGCGGGGAGGCGUUACCCGCAGAAGAAGCACCGGCUAACUCCGUGCCAGCAGCCGCGGUAAUAC